rnacentral:pre_miRNA from 1 species
AAUAAAAGAAUGACAAAUCAGAUUUUUCCUCCUGAUAUUCAACUUUUUCUCCUAAAAAAAUUCAAAUUCAACUAAAAAUACUAAAAAUAAAAAGGAAAAAUCUGAUUUGUCAUUUUCUUAUU